CCCCCUCUUUCUCUUCCCAAGGGACCAAGGAGGGGAGCAAACUAUAGACACAACAUGCGUUUCCAGCACAGGAAUAAUGUUGGCCACAGCCACACUGGACCAAUGGCACGAGGCAACAACCGCAACAGUGCUACAGGUAUCAACUGGUGAUUUGACAUUGGAAAGGUAAUCAAUCAAAGGAGAUAAGUCUGCUGAUUUGUUGAUCACAACCAGUUAGCAAAAACCAUAUCUUGAGUCAUCUGUAUAAAAAGUAAACUGUGAUGUUUCUGUUCUUAUCUGUUUUAGGGAAUUGUCAUAAAAUUGAGUUGGACAUGAAACCUUUGUUUGUUUUCUUGUACCAUAGUACUCUCAAAUUCCUAAUUUCUCACAUUCUCUCUUCAUAGCUAUCUUUAAAAAAAAUCUUCUUUGGAGGGUCUUCCCCCCAUCCCCCCAGGACAUCGUUUGUUGAAAGUAGAUUUUAUUCGAUGUUAAUACUUAACCAGCUCACAGCGGGUGAUUAAAAACCCUCUGCUGUAACAAGCUCUGUUUCCUGUCUGAUAGUGAGACUGUAAACUACUGUUUAAUGUUCGCCCAUUAGUUUUUCUCGCGCAGUUUCAUGAACGCACCUGCUAAUCAGUGACCGUUUGCUAAUGACAUGUUAAACCCUUAGUGGAAACCAUCAAUGUUAUGAUUCCUGCUUGUUUUCUUCAUGUUUAAACAUUUUAUUUUGUAUAGUUCUUGGUGUUAUAAUCGGCCUGUUAGUGGUACAUGAUUCGACAUGACACAGUGGUCUCUGAAUAAAGCGUGUCUGUGUAAUUUUGAUUGUGUUAUUACUGAGUACAGUCACAGCCACAUAAAAUAAAAAAUAAAAGAAUGUC